AGCCUUCUGUAUCCGUGCUGAGAUUUCGUCACAUACCAGACCACAAGGGCUGAUGAGAUGUGAUAAAGCA
rnacentral:pre_miRNA from 1 species